rnacentral:misc_RNA from 1 species
UCCCCGCCGGAGCGGCGACGUCCUCCCUUGCAUCCCUCCUCAGUCGUCGGCCCAAGAGCAACGUGACCGGCCUUGGCCGCCCGCGGGUUUCCUGUAUUGCGUACCUACCGGAAGGAAUUCGUACGUCGCAACGACCGACGUUCUCCCGGCGCUGUGGCCGCCCUCGGGUGGGCACGGCGCGGGGCGAACCGCGAAGGCGAGUUCGUGGUCCGAGUCGCAUCCAAGCGUCUCGGCGCACGAGCUGCCGCCUGAGCUCUCGGACGCAGUGCACCGUGAGGGCGGGGUUGCUGGACGACCCCCGUUUGCCCGAACUCGGCGUCAAUCGCCCGCACCGAACGACUGCCGUCGUCGCCUCGAGGCUGCCGCGCGCCCCGUCGGGGCUGCCGGGCUCGUGCGACGCCGGCGUCGGUUA